GACGAACGCUGGCGGCGUGCUUAACACAUGCAAGUCGAACGGAAAGGCCCUGCUUUUGUGGGGUUCUUGAGUGGCGAACGGGUGUGUGACACGUGUGUAACCUGCCCUUGACUUUGGGAUAUAUUCAGGAAACUGGGGCGAAUACCCGGUAGAAUCUCCUGAUCCAUGGUGGUCGUUGGAAAGUGUCGGCGGUUGUGGAUGUACUCGCUGCUUAUCCGCUGGUUUGUGGGGUAGUGGCUUACCAAGGGUUUGACGGGUAGCCGGCAUGAGAGGGUUACCGGGCACAUUGGGACUGAGGGACGGCGCAGACUCCUACGGGAGGCAGCAGUGGGGAGUAUUGCACAGUGGGCGGAAGCCUGAUGCAGCGACGUCGCGUGCGGGAUGACGGCCUUCGGGUUGUAAACCGCUUUGGACUGUGACGAAGCGUGAGUGACGGUAAUGGGUAAAGAAGCACCGGCUAACUACGUG
rnacentral:rRNA from 1 species